rnacentral:rRNA from 1 species
GACGAACGCUGGCGGCGUGCCUAAUACAUGCAAGUCGAACGCAGUGGGGACGGGUGAGUAACACGUGGGUAACCUCCCCAUCAGAGGGGAUAACACUUGGAAACAGGUGCUAAACCGAUACUGAUGGAUGGACCCGCGGUGCAUUAGCUAGUUGGGGAGGUAACGGCUCACCAAGGCCACGAUGCAUAGCCUACCGGGGAGGGUGAUCGCCCCCACGGCGACUGGGACACGGCGCAGACGCCGACGGGAGGCAGCAGUAGGGACUCGUCGGCAAUGGACGAAAGUCUGACCGAGCAGCGCCGGGUGAGUGAAGAAGGUUUUCGGAGCGUAAAACUCUGUUGUUAGAGAAGCGGUAUCUAACCAGAAAGCCACGGCUAACUACGUGCCAGCAGCCGCGGUAAUUC